rnacentral:lncRNA from 1 species
AUUCUUUUCUCUCCCUUUGCCGAUGUGGAAGGGAGUAAGACCGAUUUUUUUCUGUGCUGUUUAACUAUGUUAGCACAAUUAUUAUUUAAAAGUUUUGUAUCUUGAGAGAGAACCAGAGACAGAGCACAAGCAAGGGGAGCAGCAGACAGAGGGAGAAGCAGGCCCCCCACUGAGCCAGGAGCCCAACGUGGGACUUAAUCUCAGGACCCUGGGAUCAUGACCUGAACUGAAGGCAAGAUACUUAACUGACUGAGCCACCUAAGCAUCCCUACAAUGAAUAGUUUUUAUUGGGUAAUUUUUGUCUG